rnacentral:snoRNA from 1 species
ACGACCUUACUUGAACAGGAUCUGUUCUGUAGGCUGUAUUUUNCUGACAGACACUUUUUUUUGCUAUAUUUUUGUUUGUUAUGGGACGAGACUUGGCAUAACUGAUAAAGUUGAUGCCAUGUAAUUAGCAAGUCACGGGUUCGAAAAAUAUAUGGGACCAGAGCGUGAUUAACAGCCCCCAAGGCCCUCGGGUCAUGGUGUCGUAGAUGAUCGUUCUCGGCUCCAUCAUUGGUGCUGGGAUGGUCUAAUGGCUGUCUGACAGACU